rnacentral:rRNA from 1 species
UACGUAGGGUGCGAGCGUUGUCCGGAAUUAUUGGGCGUAAAGGGCUCGUAGGCGGUCUGUUGCGUCGGUAGUGAAAACUCAGGGCUUAACCCUGAGCCUGCUUCCGAUACGGGCAGACUAGAGGUAUGCAGGGGAGAACGGAAUUCCUGGUGUAGCGGUGAAAUGCGCAGAUAUCAGGAGGAACGCCGGUGGCGAAGGCGGUUCUCUGGGCAUUACCUGACGCUGAGGAGCGAAAGUGUGGGGAGCGAACAGG